ACGUAAUUUUGAUUAUGCAAUAACUACAAAUGGUUUAACAUAUAUAAGCCAAUAACUAAUUCAUAUUGUUCUUAAAAUACAUAUUUACAUUUAAUUUACAUUUUUAAUUAAAUAAAUAUGGGCUUUAAUGCACAUACCAAUUUAAACAUCAAAUGGGCUUCAGACACAAAUAUAGAAGCCCGAAAGUUGUAAUAUCGAUUAGAUGAAAAAAAACAAUAGUGGUCUGAAUAUUCAGUUUUAUUCAGACAAAAAUAUUUUAUUCUCAAAAAGCUUUCUUCGACGAAAUCGAGGAAGAAACCUGGCAAUCGAAACAAUCCUUCGAAACACUCCAUCUAUUCCGUCUGGAGAAAGAAUUUGAAACCCCAAUUCCUCUGUAUCGCAAAACAGUUCUCUUGUUGAAAGAUCAUCUCAAUCCAGCGUUUACCGAUAUGAGAUUCUUUGGAUCUGAUAUCCCGAUAAACAGAUCUUCAGCACAAACAUUAUCUUCUCAAAUCGGAGUAAAUGAAUACGACCAAACAAUCCAACCCAAACAAAGAAAGAUCUUAUUAUCAGCUAUGCGGAUCUGCUCAAAUAGGGUUCUUUGAAAGUAAAUUGAAGAAUCCGACUCGCUCUAUAUCCCAGAAACGAUAUGAUAGUUGAUUGGAGACACAAAAGUUACAGAAGAAGAGUCAAAGGUGGAAGAGCAUUCCUAAUUUACUUGGAGCGCAACAUCUUGUUCAGUUUCAAAAUCAGACUCUGCUAUUCCCUUUCUUUGACAGCUAUGCGGAUCUGCUCAAAAAGGGUUCUUUGAAAGUAAAUUGAAGAAUCAGACUCGCUUUAUAUCCCAGAAACGAUAUGAUAGUUGAUUGGAGACACAAAUAUAACAGAAGAAGAGUCAAAGGUGGAAGAGCAUUCCUAAUUUACUUGGAACGAAACAUCUUGUUCAGUUUCAAAAUCAGACUCUGCUAUUCCCUUUCUUUGACAGGUUGAUUAAUACACUGAUCCAGUGCGGCGGAAAGCGUUUAGAGAGGACCUAUUCAUGAUCAAUGAUGAAGAACCAACAUCUUAGCUGGGGAGAUACCUCACAUUCACAAUUCAUACUUAACCAAUCUGCCUUUGGCGCGAAACAGAAUUGGCAGAAGCUUUUCGUACACCAUUACUGCGCUUCUUAGUACCGGAAUUUAAAUCUGUAUCUCUCUGUGAUGUUUGACCUGAUGUUGAAUAUGGACUAAGAAGAGAUGGUGAAUGAUAUCCAUUUGGAACUGUAUUCUGAGCGUGCAAUUGGAGGAGGCAUUGACUCUUCUGAGCGUUUGACAGACCCUCUCGAAUCCAUCUGGACAGAUAUGAAUAACUUUGACUUGAACCCACCAUUCAGGUUUGAAUGGCCUGAUGUCAGACAGGUUGCAGGGAAUCUUAUUGAAGAAAUAUAAAAGCGGAAUAUCAAUACAAUUUUGACAUGCGACAUGUUACAAUCCAAAAUUAAGGUAUGUCCGGUUUAUUAUAAGGAUAAAAUGUUAGAAAUGCAUUAGGAAUGGAACUGAAUCUGGUUAGUUAGGAAAAUGGAGAUAAUAUGCUUAGUGAUAUAGAUUUUUUACUGGUUAUUGUAUCAUAACA